AUUGAACGCUGGCGGCAGGCCUAACACAUGCAAGUCGAGCGGAGCGGCGGACGGGUGAGUAAUGCCUAGGAAUCUGCCUGGUAGUAGUGGAUAACGUCCGGAAACGGGCGCUAAUACCGCAUACUAUCAGAUGAGCCUAGGUCGGAUUAGCUAUUUGGUGGGGUAAAGGCCUACCAAGACGCCGACCCGUAACUGGUUGGAGAGGAUGAUCAGCCAACCUGGAACUGAGACACGGUCCAGACUCCUACGGGAGGCAGCAGUGGGGAAUAUUGGACAAUGGGCGAAAGCCUGAUGCAGCCAUGCCGCGUGGAUGAAGAAGGUCUUCGGAUUGUAAAGCACUUUAAGUUGGGAGGCGUUACCAACAGAAUAAGCACCGGCUAACUUCGUGCCAGCAGCCGCGGUAAUUC
rnacentral:rRNA from 1 species